UACGGAGGAUGCGAGCGUUAUCCGGAUUUAUUGGGUUUAAAGGGUGCGCAGGCGGGCUGUUAAGCCGGCGGUAAAAAUUCAGGGCUCAACCCUGUCGAGCCGUCGGAACUGGCGUUCUUGAGUGAGCGAGAAGUAUGCGGAAUGCGUGGUGUAGCGGUGAAAUGCAUAGAUAUCACGCAGAACUCCGAUUGCGAAGGCAGCAUACCGGCGCUCAACUGACGCUCAUGCACGAAAGCGUGGGUAUCGAACAGG
rnacentral:rRNA from 1 species